UACGAAGGGGGCGAGCGUUGUUCGGAUUUACUGGGCGUAAAGGGCGCGCAGGCGGUCUUGAAAGUCAGGCGUGAAAUCCCCGGGCUCAACCUGGGAAUUGCAUUCGAGACUGCAAGGCUUGGGUGCGGAAGAGGGAAGCGGAAUUUCCGGUGUAGCGGUGAAAUGCGUAGAUAUCGGAAGGAACAUCAGUGGCGAAAGCGGCUUCCUGGUCCAGCACCGACGUUCAGGCACGAAAGCGUGGGGAGCAAACAGG
rnacentral:rRNA from 1 species